CGCGCGCGCUCUGGAGACUCCUGCGGUCUCCCUAGCUGUUUCUUGAAGCUCUGCAUAAGCCUCGCCCGCGGCCGCCGGGUUGCGUCCGCACUUCUGCGCGCUGGCCCCUCCCUUGCUCCUCUCCCUAGCAGUCUCCAGGGUUUUACCGGGAGGACCUAGGCAACGGCCUGAGACUCCGAGGCAAGUGGGGCGAGUCUAGGGAUAACGCAGCAGCAAGGCUACUGGGCCGGUGGAACACGCCCUGGCCUGGCCAAAUUGGACCUCCCUUCCGGAUUGGCGGGGUCUCGGUGGGGGCGGGCCGGUUGCCGGGGGGAGCUGGAGUCACGUGACGGCCGGCGCGGUUUCCCACUUUGGGCUGCCGGCCGCUGUGGCUGUGGUGGGCGGUAGGGGCUUUUACCGUGUGAGCUCCUUUAAUGCCGGGGUCUGCAGUGAGAGCUGGUGAUGAAGCUCCUGCCGGUGUGGAGCUUACAUCCCUAAGGGAGCGUUUAUUUAAUCAGUAAAUAAACCACUCACCAUGAAAGUA
ensembl:lncRNA novel transcript